GCGAAGGGGAAAAUGCAGUCUCCCCUUGAGACCCCGGUCCAAGCACUGCGCAACACUCGACUUGUCGAGGAGAUUUGCGCAUG
rnacentral:ncRNA from 1 species